GACGAACGCUGGCGGCGUGCUUAACACAUGCAAGUCGAACGGAAAGGCCCUGCUUUUGUGGGGUGCUCGAGUGGCGAACGGGUGAGUAACACGUGAGUAACCUGCCUCUGACUUUGGGAUAACUUCAGGAAACUGGGGCUAAUACCGGAUAGGAACUCCUGCUGCAUGGUGGGGGUUGGAAAGUUUCGGCGGUUGGGGAUGGACUCGCGGCUUAUCAGCUUGUUGGUGGGGUAGUGGCUUACCAAGGCUUUGACGGGUAGCCGGCCUGAGAGGGUGACCGGCCACAUUGGGACUGAGAUACGGCCCAGACUCCUACGGGAGGCAGCAGUGGGGAAUAUUGCACAAUGGGCGGAAGCCUGAUGCAGCAACGCCGCGUGCGGGAUGACGGCCUUCGGGUUGUAAACCGCUUUCGCCUGUGACGAAGCGUGAGUGACGGUAAUGGGUAAAGAAGCACCGGCUAACUACGU
rnacentral:rRNA from 1 species